GGGUCGUUAGCUCAGUUGGUAGAGCAGCUGACUCUUAAUCAGCGGGUCAGAGGUUCGAAUCCUCUACGACCCACCA
rnacentral:tRNA from 2 species